GACGAACGCUGGCGGCGUGCUUAACACAUGCAAGUCGAACGGAAAGGCCCUGCUUUUGUGGGGUGCUCGAGUGGCGAACGGGUGAGUAACACGUGAGUAACCUGCCCUUGACUUUGGGAUAACUUCAGGAAACUGGGGCUAAUACCGGAUAGGAGCUCCUGCUGCAUGGUGGGGGUUGGAAAGUUUCGGCGGUUGGGGAUGGACUCGCGGCUUAUCAGCUUGUUGGUGGGGUAGUGGCUUACCAAGGCUUUGACGGGUAGCCGGCCUGAGAGGGUGACCGGCCACAUGGGGACUGAGAUACGGCCCAGACUCCUACGGGAGGCAGCAGUGGGGAAUAUUGCACAAUGGGCGGAAGCCUGAUGCAGCAACGCCGCGUGCGGGAUGACGGCCUUCGGGUUGUAAACCGCUUUCGCCUGUGACGAAGCGUGAGUGACGGUAAUGGGUAGAGAAGCACCGGCUAACUACGUG
rnacentral:rRNA from 1 species